rnacentral:lncRNA from 1 species
CUCACUUCUUCUCUUCACUUUUCAUCAACCAAACAAGUCUUAAUGUCUUAGAGGCACAUGAUGAAUAGGGUUUCUUACGGUCUAGCCAAGGUUAAUAAUGAUUUUUUUUUUUAGGGCUUUUGGAAAAAAAAAGAAAGUCAAUAACCAAUAAUCCAUGAUGUUAACGAUGGUGCUGAAAGGGACAACAAUGAAUUGAAGGAAUUAUUGGCCAAUGGCCGUCUCUUAAUGUGUUUUGCACGAAAUUGCCUGGUGGUUUCCCUUUUUCAAAGAAGAGGAAUAAAUAAUUAAGUUUUCAGAUCAACCAGAUUGGAAAGGUGAAUGCACUAGACACAUUUGGAGAGCAGAAGAUGUCUCCACCCA